rnacentral:lncRNA from 1 species
ACUGCUGCUGAAAGGGUGGCUUUCACUCCCUUGCUUUGCUGUUCUGUGCCUGCUGCUGUACUGGGCUGGCCCCACUUGCUGAUGGAUCCAAAAAUUAGUCUGAAAUAGAGACGGAUAAGAUUUUUUUUUUUUGAAUCCCUGCACCCUGAGGCUGCAGGUUUGUUGGCCCCAACUUAAGGGAGAAGGUUGGAAUCUUUGGUUAGACGAGCAGGAGAGGGAGGUGACCUCCUGUCCCUUGAAGAGCUGCUUCAGGUUAGAUCGACGUGAGCCAGUUGUGAGACCUGAAGUGAUCGUCUGCUUCGUAGCAAGGACAGAGGACACAUGUAUGAGCCAUGCAGGGGCACCUAACAGGUGUAUUAUGCUUUGAUAAACAUACUGACACCUUCCCCUAAAUUCUUCAUGGUAAUGAAGUGAUGUACUGUGCUUCCACCACAGUGUUUCUAUGGCUCUAGGAGUGCUUUUCUGUGCCUAGCAAAGUGCAACUGUGAUGAGAUCAGGGUGCAAACCUAUGGAACUGCCCCACUGCCUGGCACAAACCAGGGGCAUCCAGGAUGAUUGCAAACCUCCUCGGCUAAGCUGCAAGGACAAGUUUGUUGAGGAGUUGCGAGCGUAGGGUGUUAGUUUGGGAAAGAAACCUCCCACCAGCGAGCGUUACCUCAGGAGGCUGCGCUGCAACUGCACAUGCUGUUAAGAGUGGAGGGGCACUGCUCUGUGCAGGAGGCAUAACCGGCAGCUUUGCCUUCCUGACCCCUCAUACUGCGAUCCUGCACGCUUGCUGUGCAGUGAAGCAUGUUUCCCUCUGCACGAACUGCAUGAUGUUGGCUGCUCUGUUGGUGCCUUAACCUGGGCUUAUCUUGAAGUGUGGGUGCUUACCCAGUCACCUGGGCGGUAAAACUUUGUCCAUCCCCUUAGUCCUCUAAUUUCUGUAUGUAAAUAUAUCAUUUUAUUUAUAUUUCUCAUUUUCCUGUCUCUUUAUGUUACAUGUGUGAUGCUAGAGCAACCUCAACAAGGAGAUGGUGAAGUUGCAAAAGGAGUCGGUUUAUCUGAUUGUAUUUGUUUUCCUUCACUGUUCCUUAAAAAUAAUUAUAUGUGAUUUGUAAUAUUUGCUGUAGCCUGGCAAUAUGUAUAGCGGCAACAGCUCAGAUUCAAUCUCAGAUGAAGCCAUCAUCCUCCGCUAAUCAGGGUGUGGGAGAGGCAUGCAGACAACAUGUUCAGCCCAUUUAUUCAGUUAUGUAAUGGCCUUUUAAACAUUUUCCAUUUAUGGUCUCUAUUUAAUUUACUGUAAGUCACAAUGGUUUAAUGUAAAUUCAAGCCAUAACAUAUACCUGACAGCUCAACCAUAAAUCAGACCAACCUCUGGUCUUAGUGCAUUUAUUCUUCUAUGAAAUAACAGAAUGUCCAUUACUUGCCUUUUAAAACAGUCUGGAGAAUAUAAAUCAUUUUUGUUAAUGCCUUGAACAAACCAGUUCAGAGAGACUGGGUCUUUGCCCACAACAAAUGCAAGAAAGGUUUAGAAACUCUUCCUUUUAAAAAUAUUUUCACUCACCUUGUGUGUUAUCUGGCUUCGGCUGCGACUGAAAGAGAAAACAAGGUAGGGAAAAUCUCUCCUGCAGUGUAACUUGCAAACUUCCCAACGUCAGGAGCACGGGAAGGCUCUUUUUGCAAGAUUUCCAAGUGUCUCAUUAAAGGAGGUUUGGACUGGUGUCUGAACUAGGAUACUUACUGAACUAAGCAAAACCUUGGCUCUACUGUAAACAAGUCAUAGCAUGAGUUGCAGCAGUGUGUGCUUCCUCAUUCAUCUCCACGUUGGAGCUUUGCUCUCUUAGCUUUUCCAACCAGGAU